GACUCUCGGCAACGGAUAUCUCGGCUCUCGCAUCGAUGAAGAACAUAGCGAAAUGCAAUACUUGGUGUGAAUUGCAGAAUCCCGUGAACCAUUGAGUCUUUGAACGCAAGUUGCACCUGAGGCCCCUAGGCCAAGGGCACGCCUGCCUGGGCGUCA
rnacentral:rRNA from 1 species